UUAAAUUGAAGAGUUUGAUCAUGGCUCAGAUUGAACGCUGGCGGCAGGCCUAACACAUGCAAGUCGAACGGUAACAGGAAGCAGCUUGCUGCUUUGCUGACGAGUGGCGGACGGGUGAGUAAUGUCUGGGAAACUGCCCGAUGGAGGGGGAUAACUACUGGAAACGGUAGCUAAUACCGCAUAACGUCGCAAGACCAAAGAGGGGGACCUUAGGGCCUCUUGCCAUCGGAUGUGCCCAGAUGGGAUUAGCUAGUAGGUGGGGUAAAGGCUCACCUAGGCGACGAUCCCUAGCUGGUCUGAGAGGAUGACCAGCCACACUGGAACUGAGACACGGUCCAGACUCCUACGGGAGGCAGCAGUGGGGAAUAUUGCACAAUGGGCGCAAGCCUGAUGCAGCCAUGCCGCGUGUAUGAAGAAGGCCUUCGGGUUGUAAAGUACUUUCAGCGGGGAGGAAGGGAGUAAAGUUAAUACCUUUGCUCAUUGACGUUACCCGCAGAAGAAGCACCGGCUAACUCCGUGCCAGCAGCCGCGGUAAUACGGAGGGUGCAAGCGUUAAUCGGAAUUACUGGGCGUAAAGCGCACGCAGGCGGUUUGUUAAGUCAGAUGUGAAAUCCCCGGGCUCAACCUGGGAACUGCAUCUGAUACUGGCAAGCUUGAGUCUCGUAGAGGGGGGUAGAAUUCCAGGUGUAGCGGUGAAAUGCGUAGAGAUCUGGAGGAAUACCGGUGGCGAAGGCGGCCCCCUGGACGAAGACUGACGCUCAGGUGCGAAAGCGUGGGGAGCAAACAGGAUUAGAUACCCUGGUAGUCCACGCCGUAAACGAUGUCGACUUGGAGGUUGUGCCCUUGAGGCGUGGCUUCCGGAGCUAACGCGUUAAGUCGACCGCCUGGGGAGUACGGCCGCAAGGUUAAAACUCAAAUGAAUUGACGGGGGCCCGCACAAGCGGUGGAGCAUGUGGUUUAAUUCGAUGCAACGCGAAGAACCUUACCUGGUCUUGACAUCCACGGAAGUUUUCAGAGAUGAGAAUGUGCCUUCGGGAACCGUGAGACAGGUGCUGCAUGGCUGUCGUCAGCUCGUGUUGUGAAAUGUUGGGUUAAGUCCCGCAACGAGCGCAACCCUUAUCCUUUGUUGCCAGCGGUCCGGCCGGGAACUCAAAGGAGACUGCCAGUGAUAAACUGGAGGAAGGUGGGGAUGACGUCAAGUCAUCAUGGCCCUUACGACCAGGGCUACACACGUGCUACAAUGGCGCAUACAAAGAGAAGCGACCUCGCGAGAGCAAGCGGACCUCAUAAAGUGCGUCGUAGUCCGGAUUGGAGUCUGCAACUCGACUCCAUGAAGUCGGAAUCGCUAGUAAUCGUGGAUCAGAAUGCCACGGUGAAUACGUUCCCGGGCCUUGUACACACCGCCCGUCACACCAUGGGAGUGGGUUGCAAAAGAAGUAGGUAGCUUAACCUUCGGGAGGGCGCUUACCACUUUGUGAUUCAUGACUGGGGUGAAGUCGUAACAAGGUAACCGUAGGGGAACCUGCGGUUGGAUCACCUCCUUACCUUAAAGAAGC
rnacentral:rRNA from 1 species